UUUGCAUUUUUGGAACCCUGCAAGCUAGUAACGAGCUUGAAACAAGCUCGCGGCAAGCUUGAAACAAGCUCACACAGCAAGCUUGCAGAUAUUGAAUUAUAUUUGCAGGUCUAAAAAUCUGCAAGCUUGCGCAAGCUCCCAAGCUGGUAAAAAAAGAGAAGCGUGCAAUCUUGCAGCGAGCUUGCAUGCUUUUGCAAGCUUGCGUGGUAAAAAAUCCAAAUGGUACCCUCAGCCAAUCACAAAAUAUGCAAGCUUGAUGUUACAUGUAGCUCGUCGCAAGCUUUCCGCAAGCUUGCUACAAAUUAAAUGGAAUAAUAGUAACAGUAUGGACAAUAACAUUGACAGAGAUCUACAAAAGAUACAUCAUAUAUGUAUCAACUGGUUUUAAUGUUACCUGAGUUUUAAGUACAUUUCAAUGACAUGUAGUGCUGCAGCUAGACUUCUGAAUACUUGUACAUGUAAUAACGACUGUCUAAAAACAUUGAAAAAAUAUAAUUCACACUUUUGAUAUCUCUAUAAAAAAAAAUUCCCUCUCAAAAAUGAAAGAAAAUGAAAGGUAUUGCCAUGGCAAGUCUGGCACAAAUUGAAUACAUAGAAGUGGAGAAAAUUUGUUCCCGAAAGACCUGUGGGUGCCAUC